rfam:Sus scrofa isolate TJ Tabasco breed Duroc chromosome 4, whole genome shotgun sequence.
CUGGGCUACGGGGACAUGUACCCUAAGACGUGGUCCGGCAUGCUGGUGGGGGCGCUGUGUGCGCUGGCUGGCGUGCUCACCAUUGCCAUGCCUGUGCCUGUCAUUGUCAACAAC